rnacentral:hammerhead_ribozyme from 1 species
ACCCAGCCGACGAGUCCUAAAUAGGACGAAACGCGUGUCUUGGAU